rnacentral:tRNA from 1 species
UGGUCGGAUAGUGUAGUGGUUAUCACGCAUGCCUCACAUUCUUGUACAGAAUUCGCAUGAUGUCCUGGGUUCGAACCCCAGUUCGACCAU